rnacentral:pre_miRNA from 1 species
AAAGUACUCCCUCUGUCCCAAAAUUCUUGUCUCAGAUUUGUCUAGAUACAGAUGUAUCAAGUCACAUUUUAGUAUUAGAUACAUUCGUAUCUAGACAAAUCUAAGACAAGAAAUUUGGGACGGAGGGAGUAGUUG